UUAAUUUUUCAUCACAAUUGAAGCAAAGGUCGGCUUGGCGGCGAUGGCUCAUCUCCUCAAAAGAGAUCCGUUUAAAGGUUGAUGGUGACGAAAGGGAGCUAUCUGCAUUCGAAGGUGUGGUGGGGGUGAUAUUGGUUCGAAGAGCAAAAGUAGUCUUGAUCGUUGAUCUCGUUUUGUACCGUGGCAGGGUGGUCAAAUCCAUUGGAGAUCUUGUAGUUGUGCGAGGGGGGUUGUGAACGCAUGCGAGCUGUUCGUCACGCACCCUAGCUAGGUUAAUUGCCUCCUUCACUGUCCUUGGACUAAAGAUACAGAUUCCAUCCGAUAUCUCUUGCUUGAGGCCGCCAAGGAAAGUGCCAAUCAAGGCCUUUCGUGUCCAUCCAUGGACCUGAUUGCCGAGUCGCUCAAAUUCGGUUUGGUAGUCGCGUAGAGAACCUGUCUGGUGAAUGUGAGAAAGAGCUUCGUAAAAGUCGGAGCCGGAUGAUGGUCCAAACCUCGUCCAGAGUUCCAAGGUGAACACUUCCCAAGUAAUCGGAAGGCCGUCUGUUCGGUAAGUGUGUCGUAACCACUGCCACCAUUGAUUUGCAUCCCCUUCGAGGUGGUACGAUGCCAAGCUUACAUUCUGAUUUUUCGGAAUCUCCUAGAAGUCAAAGAAUUGUUCGACUUGCGAGAACAAGUCCGUAGUAUCGUCCUUAUUUUUGGAAAUAUGAUCUGCA
rnacentral:lncRNA from 1 species